GAUGAACGCUGGCGGCGUGCCUAAUACAUGCAAGUCGAGCGAACAGACGAGGAGCUUGCUCCUCUGACGUUAGCGGCGGACGGGUGAGUAACACGUGGAUAACCUACCUAUAAGACUGAGAUAACUUCGGGAAACCGGAGCUAAUACCGGAUAAUAUAUUGAACCGCAUGGUUCAAUAGUGAAAGACGGUUUUGCUGUCACUUAUAGAUGGAUCCGCGCCGCAUUAGCUAGUUGGUAAGGUAACGGCUUACCAAGGCAACGAUGCGUAGCCGACCUGAGAGGGUGAUCGGCCACACUGGAACUGAGACACGGUCCAGACUCCUACGGGAGGCAGCAGUAGGGAAUCUUCCGCAAUGGGCGAAAGCCUGACGGAGCAACGCCGCGUGAGUGAUGAAGGUCUUCGGAUCGUAAAACUCUGUUAUUAGGGAAGAACAAAUGUGUAAGUAACUAUGCACGUCUGGACGGUACCUAAUCAGAAAGCCACGGCUAACUACGU
rnacentral:rRNA from 1 species